AGUCCUGCAUACUGGGAAGGGUGGGAUGCAGGAAUGGAGUCCAGAGGCUCUGGCUGCAACACACCGUGGUUCUGGCACUAAGCAAGAGCUGACCUUUCCUAAGUCAAUAUUGGAAACUCCCCUCCAGGAGAGUCCUGUGGUGUGAGGUCUGAGCACACACUGAAACCUCCGUGGAGAUCCACAGGUACCGGGGAAGCUAACAGCCAAACAUUGAACCACUGUGUGAUUCAUCCAGCCCAUAUGGAGACUUUGCCAAGGACCCCUUUUCCUCAGAUGAGCAGACAAUUCGAGAGACAAGCAUAUUCUGGUAUCUCUGAUUCAGAAUCUAUGUUUCUGGAUGCAGCUAGAGGCACAGUGCUAAACUUCUCUGCACCUUGGUAUUCUAAGAUGAUGUCACCCUUCUGUGGAUGGAUGGAUUAACUACCAUGAUACCUACUCAGAGUUUAAGAGCAUCCUGUAAAAGGAGAUAAAUUCAUACACAGUUUUCAGCUACAGUGAGUGAUGUCCACCUUGAAAGAGUCUUGGACUCUGGAGAAUAAUGUGCACUGGACAUUCUUGAUGUGGUGAAGAUCGAUGUGUGCUCGAUCUCAUGUGGGAACAACCAGAAGAUACCAAAAGGAAGAGUUGCACAAACCCAAAGAUCAGUGGAUAAUUGUACUGGAUAUAAACACCUUGAAAGCCACUCACGAGACAAACAUCAAACAGCCAGGAUUCUGGUAGAAGUCACUCCACUCAACACAUCUUGCACACAGAAACCUUACUCUCCUCGGCCAAGUCUUUACAAUCGUGAACUUACUUCCUUCACAUUUGCUUCUGGAGGGUGGAGGGAGGUCCAUAAGGUUCAGUAAAGAAAGGAAACUUACAGGAGUGAACAGACUCAUAGGGGUUUAGCAAGCUCUUUAGAAUUAACAACAGUCACAAGUCUCCUCCCCAAAGUUAUGUAUUGAGUAGUGAUUGCUAAGGAGAGGCAAUUGCCUAAGGAACAGAGCUGGUUGAACUCCAGAGAUUCAUGCAUUUUCAUGAAUCAUCAGCCAUACUGGGUUGGGUUUUUGGUGGUCCAACUGCCUUUGAAUCAUUGAGUAGAUCAAUAAACUCAUUGGUUUGC
rnacentral:lncRNA from 1 species